GGCACUUUGGCGGAGUGGUUAACGCGAUAGCCGUAAGUUUCUCAUCGAAUAAGCACUGCUCUUUCUGUUACUAACCAAAAAACACAGUGCUAAGCUAUUUCCUUCGGGAGCCAGGGUUCGAAUCCCUGAGGUGUCG